rnacentral:rRNA from 1 species
CCUACGGGAGGCAGCAGUGGGGAAUAUUGGGCAAUGGGCGCAAGCCUGACCCAGCAACGCCGCGUGAAGGAAGAAGGCUUUCGGGUUGUAAACUUCUUUUCUGAGGGACGAAGACAGUGACGGUACCUCAGAACUACGCCACGGCUAACUACGUGCCAGCAGCCGCGGUAAUACGGAGGUGGCAAGCGUUCUCCGGAUUUAUUGGGUGUAAAGGGCGUGUAGGCGGGAAAGCAAGUCAGAUGUGAAAACUCAGGGCUCAACCCUGAGCCUGCCUUUGAAACUGUUUUUCUUGAGUGCUGGAGAGGCAAUCGGAAUUCCGGGUGUAGCGGUGAAAUGCGUAGAUAUACGGAGGAACACCAGUGGCGAAGGCGGAUUGCUGGACAGUAACUGACGCUGAGGCGCGAAAGCGUGGGGAGCAAACAGGAUUAGAUACCCGAGUAGUC